rnacentral:rRNA from 1 species
CGAGAUUCCCCUAGUAGCGGCGAGCGAACGGGGAUUAGCCCUUAAGCAAUUAUGAACGUAGUGGAAGCCUCUGGGAAGUGGCGCGAUACAAGGUGAUAGCCCUGUACACGAAGUGUUUGUUUUUGUGAAAUCGAGUAGGUCGGGACACGUGUUAUCUUGACUGAAUAUGGGGGGACCAUCCUCCAAGGCUAAAUACUCCUAACUGACCGAUAGUGAACCAGUACCGUGAGGGAAAGGCGAAAAGAACCCCUGUGAGGGGAGUGAAAUAGAACCUGAAACCGUAUACGUACAAGCAGUGGGAGCAGACUUGUUCUGUGACUGCGUACCUUUUGUAUAAUGGGUCAGCGACUUGGUCUUACGAGCAAGCUUAAACCGAUAGGUGUAUGCGCAGCGAAAGCGAGUCUUAAUAGGGCGACAUGU